GGGACACGUGGUAUCCUGUCUGAAUAUGGGGGGACCAUCCUCCAAGGCUAAAUACUCCUGACUGACCGAUAGUGAACCAGUACCGUGAGGGAAAGGCGAAAAGAACCCCGGCGAGGGGAGUGAAAAAGAACCUGAAACCGUGUACGUACAAGCAGUGGGAGCACGCUUAGGCGUGUGACUGCGUACCUUUUGUAUAAUGGGUCAGCGACUUAUAUUCUGUAGCAAGGUUAACCGAAUAGGGGAGCCGAAGGGAAACCGAGUCUUAACUGGGCGUUAAGUUGCAGGGUAUAGACCCGAAACCCGGUGAUCUAGCCAUGGGCAGGUUGAAGGUUGGGUAACACUAACUGGAGGACCGAACCGACUAAUGUUGAAAAAUUAGCGGAUGACUUGUGGCUGGGGGUGAAAGGCCAAUCAAACCGGGAGAUAGCUGGUUCUCCCCGAAAGCUAUUUAGGUAGCGCCUCGUGAAUUCAUCUCCGGGGGUAGAGCACUGUUUCGGCAAGGGGGUCAUCCCGACUUACCAACCCGAUGCAAACUGCGAAUACCGGAGAAUGUUAUCACGGGAGACACACGGCGGGUGCUAACGUCCGUCGUGAAGAGGGAAACAACCCAGACCGCCAGCUAAGGUCCCAAAGUCAUGGUUAAGUGGGAAACGAUGUGGGAAGGCCCAGACAGCCAGGAUGUUGGCUUAGAAGCAGCCAUCAUUUAAAGAAAGCGUAAUAGCUCACUGGUCGAGUCGGCCUGCGCGGAAGAUGUAACGGGGCUAAACCAUGCACCGAAGCUGCGGCAGCGACGCUGAUGCGUUGUUGGGUAGGGGAGCGUUCUGUAAGCCUGCGAAGGUGUGCUGUGAGGCAUGCUGGAGGUAUCAGAAGUGCGAAUGCUGACAUAAGUAACGAUAAAGCGGGUGAAAAGCCCGCUCGCCGGAAGACCAAGGGUUCCUGUCCAACGUUAAUCGGGGCAGGGUGAGUCGACCCCUAAGGCGAGGCCGAAAGGCGUAGUCGAUGGGAAACAGGUUAAUAUUCCUGUACUUGGUGUUACUGCGAAGGGGGGACGGAGAAGGCUAUGUUGGCCGGGCGACGGUUGUCCCGGUUUAAGCGUGUAGGCUGGUUUUCCAGGCAAAUCCGGAAAAUCAAGGCUGAGGCGUGAUGACGAGGCACUACGGUGCUGAAGCAACAAAUGCCCUGCUUCCAGGAAAAGCCUCUAAGCAUCAGGUAACAUCAAAUCGUACCCCAAACCGACACAGGUGGUCAGGUAGAGAAUACCAAGGCGCUUGAGAGAACUCGGGUGAAGGAACUAGGCAAAAUGGUGCCGUAACUUCGGGAGAAGGCACGCUGAUAUGUAGGUGAAGUCCCUCGCGGAUGGAGCUGAAAUCAGUCGAAGAUACCAGCUGGCUGCAACUGUUUAUUAAAAACACAGCACUGUGCAAACACGAAAGUGGACGUAUACGGUGUGACGCCUGCCCGGUGCCGGA
rnacentral:rRNA from 1 species